rnacentral:rRNA from 1 species
CCCUUAGAUGUUCUGGGCCGCACGCGCGCUACACUGAUGCAUUCAACGAGUCUAAAACCUGGUCUGAUAGGGCUGGGUAAUCUUUUGAAUGUGCAUCGUGAUUGGGAUAGAUGAUUGCAAUUCUUCAUCUUCAACGAGGAAUGCCUAGUAAACGCAAGUCAUCAGCUUGCAUUGAUUACGUCCCUGCCCUUUGUACACACCGCCCGUCGCUCCUACCGAUUGAAUGUCCCGAUGAAUACCAUGGACUGAGAGUAUGAAUGGGUUCGCCUAUUUCUGCUUCUCGGGAAGUGGAGUAAAUCUUAACAUUUAGAGGAAGGAGAAGUCGUAACA